AUUGAACGCUGGCGGCGUGCUUAACACAUGCAAGUCGAGCGGUAACAGGUGUAGCAAUACAUGCUGACGAGCGGCGAACGGGUGAGUAAUGCUUCGGAAUCUGCCCAGUAGUGGGGAAUAACGUAGGGAAACUUACGCUAAUACCGCAUACGAACUACGGUUGAAAGCAGGGGAUCGCAAGACCUUGCUGUAUAGGAUGAGCCGAAGUCGGAUUAGCUAGUUGGUGAGGUAAAGGCUCACCAAGGCGACGAUCCGUAGCUGGUCUGAGAGGACGACCAGCCACACUAGAACUGAGACACGGUCCAGACUCCUACGGGAGGCAGCAGUGGGGAAUAUUGGACAAUGGGGGGAAACCCUGAUCCAGCGACGCCGCGUGUGUGAAGAAGGCCUGCGGGUUGUAAAGCACUUUUAGUGGGGACAAAAAGCCAAAGGCUAAUACCUUUUGGUCUUGAUUUAACCCAAAGAAAAAGCACCGGCUAACUCUGUGCCAGCCGCCGCCGUAA
rnacentral:rRNA from 1 species